rnacentral:rRNA from 1 species
UACGAAGGGGGCUAGCGUUGUUCGGAAUCACUGGGCGUAAAGGGCGCGUAGGCGGCUGUUCAAGUCGGGGGUGAAAGCCUGUGGCUCAACCACAGAAUUGCCUUCGAUACUGGACGGCUGGAGACCGGAAGAGGUCAGUGGAACUGCGAGUGUAGAGGUGAAAUUCGUAGAUAUUCGCAAGAACACCAGUGGCGAAGGCGGCUCACUGGCCCGAUACUGACGCUGAGGCACGAAAGCGUGGGGAGCAAACAGG